GACGAACGCUGGCGGCGUGCCUAAUACAUGCAAGUCGAGCGAAUGGAUUAAGAGCUUGCUCUUAUGAAGUUAGCGGCGGACGGGUGAGUAACACGUGGGUAACCUGCCCAUAAGACCGGGAUAACUCCGGGAAACCGGGGCUAAUACCGGAUAACAUUUUGAACCGCAUGGUUCGAAAUUGAAAGGCGGCUUCGGCUGUCACUUAUGGAUGGACCCGCGUCGCAUUAGCUAGUUGGUGAGGUAACGGCUCACCAAGGCAACGAUGCGUAGCCGACCUGGGAGGGUGAUCGGCCACACUGGGACUGAGACACGGCCCAGACUCCUACGGGAGGCAGCAAUAGGGAAUCUUCCGCAAUGGACGAAAGUCUGACGGAGCAACGCCGCGUGAGUGAUGAAGGCUUUCGGGUCGUAAAACUCUGUUGUUAGGGAAGAACAAGUGCUAGUUGAAUAAGCUGACACCUUGACGGUACCUAACCAGAAAGCCACGGCUAACUACGUGCCAGCCGCCGCGGUAA
rnacentral:rRNA from 1 species